rnacentral:lncRNA from 1 species
AGAAAGUGGUUAGUCAAUAAACGAGCAAGGUCUUUCAAGUUGAAAUCAAAGUUAUCAUGGGAACUGAAGGAGCAAUUGCCCUCAAAGUCAAUACCACAAACUAACCACCAUGUUUUAAACUCACAAGUUUUCUUUGUCUGAAACAGGCAUGAAGGCUAUGUUCAUAUCAAAGCUUGAAUUUUUCAGGUGUAAUGCCCCAAUUCUGCUUAUGCAAAGGCUACUGAGAAGAUCACACAUCACCCCUAGGAGACGCACUUCCUAGUCUGGGUCUUUCAAGUUAUAUUUUUAUUUUAGGAGACACACUUCCUAAUUUGAGAUUUUACUCCUAGGAGACACACUUCCUAGUUUUGGGUCAUUUAAAUUCAUUCCUAGGAGACGCACUUCCUGGUUUGAAUCAUUGAAGUUUUACCCUAAGGAGACACACUUCCUAAUCUAGGUCUUUCAGCUUAUAUUAUUGUUAUAGGAGACGCACUUCCUAGUUUGAGUCACUGAAGUUUUCACCCCUAGACGCAUUUCCUAGUCUAGGUUUUUCAGGUUAUAUUUUGUUUUAGGAGAUGCACUUCCUAAAUUGAGGUUUUACCCCUAGGGGACGCACUUCCUAGUUUGGGUCAUUUAAGUUCACCUCUAGGAGACGCAUUUCCAAGUUUGAGUCACUGAAGUUUUCACCUCUAGGAGACGCACUUCCUAGUCUGGGUCUCUCAGGUUAUAUUUUUGUUUUAGGAGACGGACUCUUUAAGUUGAGAUUUUACCCCUAGGAGACUCAAUUCCUAGUUUUGGGUCAUUUAUGUUCAUUCCUAGGAGACACACUUCCUAGUUUGAUUCAUUGAAGGUUCACCCUUAGGAGACACACUUCCUAGUCUAAGUCUUUCAGCUUAUAUUGUUGUUAUAGGAGACGCACUUCCUAGUUUGAGUCACUGAAGUUUUCAUCCCUAGGAGACGCACUUCCUAGUCUGGGUUUUUCAUGUUAUAUUUUGUUUUAGGAGACGCACUUCCUAAAUUGAGGUUUUACCCCUAGGAGACGCACUUCCUAGUUUGGGUCAUUUAAGUUCACCCCUAGGAGUCGCACUUCCUAGUUUGAGUCACUGGAAUUUUCACCCCUAGGAGACGCACUUCCUAGUCUGGGUCGUUCAGAUUAUAUCUUUGUUCUAGGAGACGCACUUCCUAAAUUGAGAUUUUACCCCUAGGAGACGCACUUCCUAGUUUUGGGUCAUUUAAGUUCAUUCCUAGGAGACACACUUCAUAGUUUGAGUCAUUGAAGUUUCACCCUUAGGAGACGCACUUCCUAGUCUAGGUAUUUGAGCUUAUAUUGUUGUUCUAGNAGANGCACUCAUUUAAGAUCACCCCUAGGAGAUGCACUUCCUAGUUUGGGUCUUUCAGGUUAUAUUUUGAUUUAGGAGACGCACUUCCUACAUUGAGAUUUUACCCCUAGGAGACGCACUUCCUAGUCGGGGUCUUUCAAAUUAUAUUUUUGUUUUUAGGAGACGCACUUCCUAAAUUGAGAUUUUACCCCUAAGAGACGCACUUCCUAGUUUUGGGUCAUUUAAGUUCACCCCUAGGAGACACAUUUCCUACAUUGAUAUUUUACCCCUGGGAGACGCACUUCCUAGUCGGGGUCUUUCAAAUUAUAUUUUUGUUUUUAGGAGACGCACUUCCUAAAUUGAGAUUUUACCCUUAGGAGAUGCACUUUCUAGUUUUGGGUCAUUCAAGUUCAUUCCUAGGAGACGCACUUCCUAGUUUGAGUCAUUUAAGUUCAUUCCUAGGAGACGCUCUUCUUAGUUUGAAUCAUUGGAGUUUCAUCCUUAGGAGACGCACUUCCUAGUUUGGUUCAUUCAAGUUUCAUCUCUAGGAGACGCAUUUCCUUGUUUUUGUUAUUUGAGUUCAUCCCUAGGAGACACACAUCCUAGUCAAGUCUUUAGUUUACUCUCACCAUUGCAUCAAUAGCAUAAGCGAUUUACAGUUUUGCUAAUAACUCACAAAUCUUCCUAGUGCAAACUAGGACAGAAAAUUUUGUUUGUUUUGUUGUUUUGUUUGCAGGCACCCAACAGGAGAACGAGUGAAGGCAUUUCAGAGUCCAUUUCAGAGUCAUUUCAAGUUUCAAGUCAGUAGAGGCGCCCACCUGGAGAACGAGGGAAGUCAUUUCAGAAUUCAAUUCAAGUUAGAAGUAGCAGAAGCUCGCCUCAAGAACGCGAGUCAACAGUCCGAGGUGACCAACAGAAAUAGUCUCUUUCAGAAAAAAAUGAAAAAGAAGAGAUAAGUAAAUCCAAAUGCCAAAGCAGAUGAAAGAUGUGAACUGCUCAAGACAUGGUUGAAGUUACGAGCACUACAUGUCCGGUCUUGAUCUGAAGAAGUCGUGGAAGAAUGAAUCAACACCUGCAGCUAGCAAGCAUCAAGGUUCAAAUCAAAAGUGUGCAAGAAGAACCAUUCAAGAUUCAAGAUCAAGCUUCAGUAGACUUAUAGAUAGGAAUCUUGUAACUCAUAACUGAUAGGCUUGCUUAGUUCUUUUAGAUUUUGAUUUGAUGUAAUAAGAGGACCGCGGACUGGAACCUCGGCGGCACCUCAAUUGGCUCUCCACCUCGGUAUACUCCAUCACUGUUUCUACUCUUGAACUACACGUGGCCUGAUUCCUUUAUACAAAAGGAUAUGUAGGCAGCUCAGAUAUCAGGGCUCGAUCACAUUCUCCUCUCUUUUAGUUUUUGGUAUCUCUAAAUAAGGGUAGGGUCAAAAAACAUGUCUCGUCAUUCAUUGUCUGAAAAAUCUUCGUGUUUCCAGUCAAAGAGGGGUAGUUGUAGACAUAUAAUUUUUGACUCUCCCAGGGACUUCUACACCUUGUAGUGCUAAAUAUUUCUUUUAGUUAUAAUAUUGUUACUUUGCCUAUUUUUGAUACUUUUGCUUUAUUUUCUCUUGAAAACAAAAACUACAGAAAUAUUUUUUGUUUGUUUUUUGUUUAUUUAUUUUAACUAACAGAUAUUAUGCCUCAUUAUUUUAGUUUAUCUUACUUUUAAUAAAAUUAAAAAUUACAAAAAUAAUCACAUGUGUUUUCUUAAUUAUUUCAUGGAAAUUUAGCAUUUUUUUCUUAUUUCUUAUUUCGUGACCGUUUCUUUCCCAAAAGAAAAAUAGAAAAAGAAUAUCAUCUCCUUGGUUUUACCCAAUCUAAGAAAGUUUUGUUUUGUAAAAUAAUUUUCGACAGUUACACUUAGUUGAAGUGUUUGCAUUUGUUUAGCUAAAAUAUCUUUGUAUUUUUUUAAUUGAACAAUUGAAAAAAAUGAAGAAAAAAAAAAGGUAAAAGCAAAGACAAAAAUCCUUAUUUCUUUCACGUGGCCACUCAACUUGGGACCACUUCUUUUUCAACCUCAUCAAUUCAUUUACAUUACACAUUCACAUAAGCUUUGCCCACAAAUUAUUCACUGUGCAUUUGUUUUUGCUUAUAUUCCUACAAUCACAUUCCACACACUUUGCACUUAUUUUCUUUUAUUGUGAUUUUGAUUUUAUUUUUAAUCCACCUGCACUCUUUUGUUUUGACCUCACUCCACUCACACCCACAUUUUGGCAGUUGGCACAAAAAAUAUUUCUUAUCAUCCAUACACUUCACACGGCAGAUAAUUAUCAAGGAGGGGACCACACACUUUCUUCACACAUUUUUCUUUCUUCUUGUCCAAGCACUUCAGAUAGAAAUAAAGAUAUAUAUCCAUCAUUCACACGAAAAGAGGGGGAGUAUUUUGCAGAGAGAUAGAAGGGAUACACAAAAAUACAGUAAGUCAGGGGGAGACAUAGGAACUGGGAAAAAAUUAGGAAAAAACGUAACCUUCUUCUUUCUUCUCUAGCAUCGACAAUACCAUUUUCUCAUCACCCAAGAAUUCUCAUCUACUCAACUAAUCUCUAACAAAAACUAGUAGCACACACACUUGACUAAUCUAGAGGACCUUAAUCUCUUAAGAGACCAAAAAGAGAAGGCCAGCCGCAUCAGAGAUAAGAAAAACGGGAUAGUUGCACCCCAUUUUUGGACCUCUAAUUUCUUUAAUUUCAUUAACCACCACACAACCGUCUUCCCCUCUAACUCCAUCUUCCUGAACCUAAUGCCUUUCCCUUUUUACAUGAAUCUUCAUUCUCUCGAAAAUACAAAAUAGACACACACACAAACUAAAAAACAGAAAACAGAGUGAGUGAACGGACAACAAAGACAAGGAACGAUCGAAAAUCCAAAGAGAAAAUUAAGAGAAGGACACGAAGCAGAGGGAACGGGGGGGUCGAGGAGGUUCCGCUGGGUGUUGUUCGAGUUUCUAUUGCAAUUUAUUCGAUCCGAUUUCAAUAGAUGUAGUUCAGUUUUGCUGUUGGAAUCUCUUGUGUGUACUACUCGGAGGAAAUUUUUAAUCGGAAAGCUUGUCUAAAGGUUCGAUUCUUACUCUGCUUCCUGAAUGUUUAUUGUGUGAUUUUGCUUAAUAUCAUACUUAGUAUUUGAUAUAUUGCUUAUUGCUCUAUUUUAAUAACGUCUUGUUAUUGGUUUGCUCUCUUUUGUUCUUGUUGUUUAAGUUUAAUAUGUGUUUGAAUUUGCAAUGGCUAAGAUGAAUUUAUAAUUACCGUUGCAAUUCUUUAUUAAGAGAUACUGUAAGGCUUCAAGAUUACCAUUUUUGUGACGGAAAGUUAAAUUAAUUAGUUAAUGAUUGGUUGGUGGCUUAGAUUGUGAAACAAGUAUUAUGCCAUGGGAGUUAGGCUCGGAUUAAAGAAAGUUGGAUUUAAGAGUGAAUGUCCAUGGGAUAGUUUAUUUCUUUUUAUUUAUUUAUUUAUUUAUUUAAUCUGGAUCACUAGCAUCAUGUUUAGGUCGACCAUACUCGGGUAGGAAAAGUUUAGGUUUUAUUUUUCUCUUUUAUUUGAGGUAAGAGGUCGUUCUCUUAGUUUAAUUUAUCCGGGGAAUGCCUCGAAGGAUUUGUAUAUAUGUUAUUCCAGGCAAUGCCCCGUAGUAUUCUAUAAUUGGAGGCCGAAAACGAACUCAUAGUACUUUUAUUCUUAUUUUAUUUUCAUUUUUCUUUUAUUAUGUGGGAAUAACUUCGAGCCUCUUGUGUGUUUAUUUUUCUUUUAUGUGUUUAGUUUUACCUCAAUUCGAAUAUUUUAAAAGCCGAUUUGAUCAAGUGCGCAACCGUACUAGUUAUGGGACUUGGGGAGUGCCUAACACCUUCUCCCCGAGUCAAAUGAACCCCCUUACCCGAAUCUCUGGUGCAGACUUAGUUUUGGAGUCUAACGUUUUUCAAAAGGAAAAAUUAUUUUUAAAAACGGUGACCUGACACACCGAAACCAAUGUCAGGUGGCGACUUUGAAAAGUCCUUUUGAACAAAUUUUUUUCAUUUUCUAAUUGGAAAACCCUUUUAGCUUUACUAAUCUUUUUAUUUAUUUUAAGAGGGUUAGUGAGGUUGUAAAAAAGGGGUGUGACAGCUCUGGCGACUCUGCUAGGAAAUUGCAGGUUCGAGCUGAUACUUGAUCUCGUUGGCUUUUAGGAUUUUCGGUUAAGGUAUUUUUUUUAUUUGGUUUGUUUGUCUUAUUUCCUGUUUUGUUAGUUAUUUGUUUAUCGCUUUUCCUUAUGUGUUUACUGCUUUAUAACUAUCAUCAUUUGCAUAACCAUGGGUCUUCUUUCUGCAACAAAUCUUCUAGAGUACGUUUGAGCGUACACGGCCUUUUUGUGAGUCACACGUAUCUUUAGGGGUGGCGUGGGAGCGUGGAGUGGGCAGACAGCUAGAGCAGCCGCCAUCGACCACGUACCGCCCUAAAUUGUCUUGUUAGUAAACCCUAAGCUUAGGUCAGCCUUUAGGCUAUUCUUAUUUGCAUCAUGUCAUUUAGACCUAGUAGGGCUCAGUUCUAGGUACCGUGUCCCUUUUUAGGAGGCCUAUCCAAAUUAUGUCAAAACAGGCCCAUGGCCUAGAAAGACAUUCAAUCAUCCAUGUGUGCUACAAGCUGCAUUCUUUAAGGGUAAAAGGGUCAUUUGGUGGACCAAUGAUAGUUGAGGGCAAAUAAAUAAGAAAAGAGGGUGAAGUAUAAAAAUGAAGUAAGUAGGGCCCAGUUAUGAUUUUCUUUCACAACUUUUUCAAGAAAAAGACAGAAAAAAUGAAUGAAAAUGAAAAAAAAAAUCCAAAAAAGAUUUGCACUUUCCCAUCAUUUUCCAAAAAUUAAAAAAGAAAAGAAAAAGAAAAUCCAAAAAAGAUUUUACAUGUUUCAUCAUUUUUCAAAAAAAAAAGACAAAAAAUAUAUUUUCUUUAAAUUGGUGUUCUUUUUAAAUUAUAUCUCAUAUCCAAUCUUCCCGAACUACGCAUAACUGAUUCUUGUCUUUAGGGACAAGAUACGUAGGCAGCCCACAUAGGACCCGAUCUUCCUAGUGAGUCUUAGGUUUUUGGUUUCGCGGGGUCUUAGCCAAAUCUUGCAUGUUUAGCCACAUUCGGCCACAUCGGCCGUUUUUUGCAGAAUAGGGAUAUUCUCUCAAAUUAGUUUGUUAUCCCAUAUCUUAGAGUCUUUUGUCUUGAACAAGGUGUCCUUUCAGCUUUAAGGGUAUUCCUGUUGAAUUUGUAUGUCUAGCCACUUUUGGCCACAUCGGCCACUCUUGCAAAAUGGAGUCAUUUCCGCAAAAGUGGUUCAUUGAUCCAUGUCUCAGAAUCUUGAGGUCACAACUAAGUGUACCACUACCUUAAGGUCUAUCCUUUUGAGUUUGCAUCUUUAGCAACUUCUGGCCAUAUCGAUCACUUUUGCAAAAUGGAGCAUUUUCGCAAAUUAAUUUUGGACCAUGAUAUUGGGAGUUUGAAUCCAUAUAAGCCUUAGUGAGGCAUUUUCCAUGUCUAUGAGGUCAAUCUUGUUGAGUUUACACUUCUAGCCACUCUUGGCCACAUAGGUUAAUUUUCACAAAUAGCUCAAUCGUGUCUUGCAUGUGUCCCGUAGGAGGUGUUGUGGCGUUGCAUAGUGUCUUGAGUCUAUAACUCUAUUUGGUCUUGUUUUUCUCAUUCAGUUUUGGAUCAAUGUACCAGAGCUCGAGCAUGACAAAUACCCCGGAACCAUUGCAUUUGGAAGCUUGUUUGAAGAGACUUUUUAUAUUUUGAGUCCAUUUUCAUAUUUUCUUUUACUUUCUUGUCUCAUCUAGUAGUUUUAAGUCUUUUAGGUGGUGUAAGAGUUUUUCAAGUCUUUUGUCAUCGCACUUCCCAUUUGUAUUCGAAAACAAAAAAAAAUAGUUAUAAAUGAAAAAUCCAAUUUUUUUUUUAGUUUAUUUUGUCCACUACUUUUUCAGAACUACGCUUGAUCUGAUUUAUGUGGAACAUGAAACGUAGGCAACCUACAUAGGGUUCGAUCAAAUCAUUAUUUUAAAAUUUAAAAAAAAGAGAAAAAAGUUGUGGGAUGUGAGAAAUGAGAGGAAAGAAAAGAGUGACAAUUAAAAAGAAAAAGAGGAAGGAAAAUGAGCGAGCCAAGAAGUACUAGAAAAAAAAGGAAAGAGAAAAUUGAAAUAAACAAAAUUGGGAUGAUGCCAAAUGACCUUGUGACACUCGAAGCCAUUCUAGAACCAUUAAUUGUUGCUAGGGGCAUUGCACGCAAUGUGAUAUUUAUAUCUGAUAAAUGCCCAAAUGCUAACAUGUUGGCUUUGUUUUGCUCCCCUUUGUUACUUUCAUUAUUAUCAUAACAGAGGGUGGUUAGUUUGUGGCAUUUUGACGAGUCAUCUGUACAACAUAAGGUCCAAGAGCAAGGUAGACAUGGCUAGCAAAGACUUGGACACAAGAGUUGUAGACCCACCGAGGGAGAAUGUCGAGUCGGAAUCGAAAUUGAUAGAGGAGGUCCGAAGGUUGAAACAUCAUAUGGCAAAAAUGUAUCAGGCCUGGAUUAAGGGACAUCCUCCACCUUUAUUCCCUACCAACUAUAAAGAAAACCAUGCCUCCAUUCCACCGCUGUCCCACGCCCAGAUGCCCACUACUGUUUACCUUUCUCCUCAACAUGCAUCGGGCUUUACCCCUUACCACAAUUACCCUGACACUUUCUCCUAAACUUUCCAUGCUCCACCAGCCAAAACAACUGCAUUCCCAGCUCCAGAUACCCAAUACUAUGCCCCGGAACCCACCUUCAAAGUCUCAGAUCCUUACUCCUACACUCCCCACCUUGAGCCUCAUGUUGAAACUGACAAACCACACAAGAACGCGGAGCAAGAGGAUAUAUUUAGGAAGGUAAAGAGUUUGGAGCGAUCAUUGAUAAAUAUGCAGGGGUUAGGAAGCCAGGUGAGUGUGACUUAUAAGGAUUUGUGUUUGUUCCCUGAUGUUCAACUGCCUGUCGGGUUCAAGAUGCCCAAGUUUGACUUGUAUGACGGACAUGGGGAUCCUGUAGCUAACUUGAGAGGUUACUGCAGUAAAAUGAGAGGCAUCGGGGGAAAAGACAAAUUACUGAUGGCGUAUUUCAGCCAGAGUCUGAGAUGGGCAGCUCCAGAAUGGUACACCCGCCAGGACGCCAGCAGGUGGUACACAUGGGAUAAUUUGGCUUAGGCCUUUGCUCGGCAUUUUCAGUACAACAUAGACAUUGUCCCGAAUUGCCUGUCCCGGAUCGCCUGUCCCUGAACAAGGUAGAAAAGAAGCCCAGUGAAAGCUUUAGAGAAUAUGGGUUCCGAUGGUGGGAGCAAGCUGCACGGGUCAAUCCUCCGAUGGAAGAAGAUGAGAUGGUUGAAUACUCUCUUCAAGCCCUGAAGCCUACUUACUUCGGCCAUUUGAUCUCAGCUAUUGGUAAGCCUUUCAAUGAUGUUGUAAAUAUGGGAUAAAUGGUGGAAGAAGGACUGAAGUCAAGCAAGAUCAUGAGCUAUUCUUCCUUAAAAUUCAUAACACGGGCAAUUCUGAACGAUAUAGGAAGCUUGUCGGGUCAGAAGAAAUAUGAUGAUGUUGUCAUGGUUGUCUCAAGAUCACGACACGGCCCAACGGGUCCUCCUCACCAAUAUACUCAGCUUCAACCCCGACCCCAACCCCAAACCUAUCCUCAAGCUCUACAUAAUCCACCUCAGUAUUAUCCUCCGAACAACGUCCAGUCAUUUGUUCAACCACUAGGUCACUCCUUAUGGCAAACACCAACACCACAUAAUACUUUUUCGCCUUCACAACAUUUUCAAGCACCCAACAACCCUAGGAAAUAGGGGUAUAGAGGGGAACAAAGGCAAAGAAAUAGUCUCACUCCAAUCGGAGAAUCCUACACAAGCUUGUUUGAAAAGCUAAAACAGUCUGGCCUGAUUGAGCCACUCCUCGGCUAUACUCCGGACCCAUAUGCAAAAGGUUUUGAUCCUACUGUAUGGUGCAUGUACCACUCUAAUGUCCAAGGGCAUGGCAUUGAAGAUUGUCGUGCUUUGAAAAGGGAGAUAGAAAGAAUGAUUCAAGAAGGGGUAAUUGUGGUCCAGGACAGUGACACCCAGAAUAUCGCACAAAAUCCUUUACAUGCACAUGAUGAUGUACACUUUGUUAGGGAGAUGCGUGGUGACAGGGAGAAUGAGAAUCCUUUUGGGAACUUGCUGACUGAAGUUAAUGAUAUUGAAAUUGGUGAAGGCCCCAACAAUUUUGAUGUGCAAUCCAGUGGCUGAGAUGUCAAGUUUGGUAAUUGAAAAGACACUCCUUUCUUGGCUAGCCAGUGAGGAGUUUUGGUGGUUUUAUUUUGUUGUCAUUUCUGUUUUUCGGGUCAUUUCAGGGUUGUAAUCCGGACAUUGUCUUGUGGCUCAAAAUCUUCUGCUUCUUAUUUUGCCUAGUUCGUUUAGUGGUAGUAACUCGUCUAGUGUUAUCUAGGAUUGUUCCGGGGCUGUAACCCAUGUCACUUCUGCUUGUUUUGUUCAAACCUUUUUCACCGUCUGUCUAAUGCAGUCUCAUGUUUCCUGUUAGUUCUAGUCUAUUUUUGUUAUAGGUCACUUUUCCUUUUAUAGUUCUUUUCAUGCUGACUCUAGUGACAUGACAUGCAUGCAUAAUUCUCAGCCUGGUCUUGAUAAAUAGUUUAAUCACGAAGCAAUCACAUAGUUUUGAAUAUGAUAAAAGGAUGCAUUUGAGAAAACAAGUAAAGAUUCACGCAUUCUGAGAUAACCUGAAGCUUGAAUGGAGUGAAACUGAGGCAGUUAGUCUAGGAAAUCAAGAAGUUGAUAAGAGCACACAACAAGGAAAUGUCUCUCAAGCAGUUUGAGGUAGAUCAGUCAGUGUUGAAAUGCAUUCUUCCACAUCAAGAUAAGGUUGAGUCAAGUUUGUUUCUAAUUGGCAAGGAUCAUUUAUUGGGACAAAGGUAUUACCCGUCGGCACUUUCUGUUUGUGUUGAUUCCAUUAGUAGAUACUAUGUAUGAUUUCUUUUCUUACCUUCAAUUGCAUAUGUGUACCUGACAUUUUUAAAGUUUGGUAUGACGAAGACAUUUUAUUCUGCUACCCAAACACUUUUAUCUUUUGCUACUCCUUUUGAGCCUUAAUUUGUUUUGCUUCAUACCCCUCUUUUGGAAUCAAAAGUAGAGUUAGGAACAAGAAAAGAAAAAGAAAAGAUAAAGGAAUAAAAAUAAGAAAAAGAACAGAAAAAGAGAAAAAAAAAGAAAAAAAAGGAAAAGGAAAGAAAAGGAAAAAAAAAGAAAAAAAAAACCAACUUUGUAUUGCAACUACGUUCGACCUGAUUCCUUUUAAGGAUUCCUAGGCAGCCUUACUCUGAGGUUCGGUCCCAUCAAAGAAAAAAUCUAUAAAAAAAAAAGAAGAACAAAAAUCCAAAAAAAAUCCAAAAAAAAAGAAAAAAAAAAGAAAAAAAAUUAACCCAAAACUANNNNNNNNNNNNNNNNNNNNNNNNNCUAAGAAACUGGAGCAGAAGUUUUAAUUUUGGCCAAAAGAUCUGAUUCCAAAAGUUAUAAUUUUGAACCCUUUCAUCUUAAAUUAUUUUGAGCUUUCAUGCCACCCUUUCUUUCCAACCUAAUCCAAAAGCCUACAUUAUGGUCCAUAGAAAGACCUUCCGACCAAUCUUUGAGGAUGCCAAAUCAAGUGUGGUUAAAGUAUGAUUUUCCUACAUCAUGGGUAAUACCGUGUUCUCAUUGUAAAGAGAGAAAAUGAUAAAUGAGAGAGUCUUAUCGGUGAAACCCUCAUGGGAACCGUAAGGCGACGGUGAGUUCAGAAAAAGAGCAAAAUGAGAGAGGCUUGAUGGUGAAAACCCUUUAGGGCACUACAAAUCGACUGAGGAUUGUGGAUCAAAUGGGACAAUUGGAGUGUUGAAGCCCAGUUUCACAGCUUAGAGGCACAACAAGAGUUGAACAUUAGACUUGUUUAACAGAUUAGGCCACUUUAAUUCAAAAUACAUGUCACGUCAUUAGAGUUGGUAUCUAUAUCUGACAAGUUUCUAGUCGGUGAUUUUCUUGUUAGAUGUCAUAUCUUUCUGUUGUCCCCUUAACUCUGUUCUUCUUGCUUUGUUUAAGUUCUCUGGAGUCUAUUUUGUCAGAACAAGUAAAGAAAUGACUUCAGAAUCUACUACUAGUUUUCCAAUUGCACAAAGCGGAAUCUGGAUAGCACAUCAAAGUGGCGUAUGUCAAAAAAGAAUAGUAUGUGCACUGAGUUGGUAACAAUCAACAUGCUUUGGGAUUCAUGUGAAAUACAAAGAUUCGGUAAAUGUCAAUUCGUGAGCAUAAUGCAACAGAUAAAGGGUAUUGGGUUUGAAUGGAUCAGAGGUAUUUUUGUGAUAAGGGUGAUAGAGAAAGUGGUUAGUCAAUAAACCAGCAAGGUCUUUCAAGUUGAAAUCAAAGUUAUCAUGGGAACUGAAGGAGCAAUCGCCCUCAAAGUCAAGGCCACAAACUAACCACCAUAUUUUAAACUCACAAGUUUUCUUUGUUUGAAAUAGGGAUGAAGGCUAUGUUCAUAUCAAAGCUUGAAUUUUUCAGGUGUAAUGCCCCAAUUCUGUUAUGCAAAGGCAAUUGAGAAGAUCACACAUCACCCCUAGGAAACACACUUCCUAGUCUGGGUCUUUUAAGUUAUAUUUUUAUUUUAUGAGACACAGUUUCUAAAUUGAGAUUUUAUCCUAGGAGACGCACUUCCUAGUUUUGGGUCAUUUAAGUUCAUUCCUAGGAGACACACUUCCUAGUCUAGGUCUUUCAGCUUAUAUUGUUGUUCUAGGAGACGCACUUUCUAGUUUGAGUCACUGAAGUUUUCACCCCUAGGAAACACACUUCCUAGUCUAGGUUUUUCAGGUUAUAUUUUGUUUUAGGAGACGCACUUCCUAAAUUGAGGUUUUACCUCUAGGAGACACACUUCCUUAGUUUGGGUCAUUUAAGUUCACCCCUAGGAGUCGCACUUCCUAGUUUGAGUCACUGGAAUUUUCACCCCUAGGAGACGCACUUCCUAGUCUGGGUCGUUCAGAUUAUAUCUUUGUUCUAGGAGACGCACUUCCUAAAUUGAGAUUUUACCCCUUAGAGACGCAUUUCCUAGUUUUGGGUCAUCUAAGUUCACCCCUAGGAGAUACACUUCCUAAUCUGGGUCUUUCAGGUUAUAUUUUGGUUUAGGAGACGCACUUCCUACAUCCGAGAUUUUACCCCUAGGAGAUGCACUUCCUAGUUCGGGUCUUUCAAAUUAUAUUUUGUUUUAGGAGACGCACUUUCUAAAUUGAGAUUUUACCCCUAGGAGACACACUUCCUAGUUUUGGGUCAUUUAAGUUCAUUCCUAGGAGACGCACUUCCUAGUUUGAGUCAUUUAAGUUCAUUCCUAGGAGUUGCACUUCUUAGUUUGAGUCAUUGAAGUUUUAUCCUUAGGAGACUUCUUAGUUUGGUUCAUUCAAGUUUCAUCUCUAGGAGACGCAUUUCCUAGUUUAAGUCGUUUGAUUGCAUCCCUAGGAGACACACAUCCUAGUCGACUCUUUAGUUUACUCUCAUCAUUGCAUCAAUAUCCUAAGCGGUUUACAGUUUUUCAAAUAACUCACAAAUUUUCAUAGUAAAAACUACAGUAGAAAAUUUUGUUUGUUUUGUUAUUUUGAUUGCAGUCACCCAUCUGGAGAAUGAUGGAAGGCAUUUUAGAGUCCAUUUCAGAGUCAAUUCAGGUUUCAAGUCAGUACAGGCUCAUACCUAGAUAACGAGGGAUGUGAUUUCAGAAUUCAAUUCAAGUUAGAAGUAGCAGAAGCUCGCCUCAAGAAUGCGAGUCAACAGUCCGAGGUGACCAACAAAAGUAAGUACUACUUUACGAAAAAAAACAAAAAAGAAGAGAAAUAAAUCCAAAUGCCGAAGCAGAUGAAAGAUGUGAACUGCUCAAGACAUGGUUGAAGUUAUGAGCACUACAUGUCCGGUCUUGAUCUGAAGAAGUCGUGGAAAAAUGAAUCAGCACCUACAGCUAGCAAGUAUCAAGGUUCAAAUCAAAAGUCUACAUGAAGAACCAUUCAAGAUUCAAGAUCAAGCUUCAGUAGACUUAUAGAUAGGAAUCUUGUAACUCAUAGCUGAUAGGCUUGCUCAGUUCUUUUAGAUUUUGAUUUUAUGUAAUAACAACACAGCGGACCGGAACCUCGGCGGCACCUCAAUCGGCUCUCCACCUCGAUACUCUAUCACUGUUUCUACUUCUGAACUACACGUGGCCUGAUUCCUUUAUAGCCAAGUAUAUGUAGGCAGCUCAUAUACCAGGGUUCGGUCACAGUUUCCUCUCUUUAGUUUUUGGUAUCUCUAAAUAAGGGUCAGGUCAAAAAACCUGUCUCGUCGUUCUUUGUCUGAAAAAUCUUCGUGUUUCCAAUCAAAGAGGGGCAGCUGUAGACAUGUAAUUUUUGACCCUCCCCGGGACUUCUACACCUUUUAGUGUUAAAUAUUUCUUUUAGUUAUAAUAUUGUUACUUUGCUUAUUUUUGAUAAUUUUGCUUUAUUUUCUCUUGAAAAAAAAACUACAAAAAUAUUUUUUGUUUAUUUAUUUUUAUUUAUUUUAACUAACUGAUAUUAUGUCUAGUUAUUUUAGUUUAUCUUACUUUUAAUAAAAUUAAAAAUUAC